AUGAUCAAGAGGAAUUUAGACGUUUUCAAUCUUCGGACUAUGUCGCUUUUAAUGAAAACCUUAGAAAAAAGGGUUCCUACCAAUGUCUUAGUUGAUUGCAUUAACGAACUUAAUAAUGAUUUUGCCCUUAGAAACAAUGAGCUAGGAUACUCUCUUGAGUAUAGGCUCACAAUAUUUUGCCAAAAGAAUGCUUUUAGUGAUGAAAUAGUUGUGCACUAUGAAGGGCGAAAGGAGGAACCCGUUCCUCCUAUGAUUGAUCUUGGGGAUUUUUGUCCCAUUAAAUUUUGCCCUUUUGAUUACUUUUUCUUGCCUCAAAGAAAACUUGCUGCCGAACAUAGAGAAUAUGAGAUGAGCUUUCAAGAUUUAUCUUGUUAUUAUGGCACUACUUAG
rnacentral:rRNA from 1 species